AGCAGCAGCCGCGGGAAUACGGAGGAUCCAAGCGUUAUCCGGAAUCAUUGGGUUUAAAGGGUCCGUAGGCGGUCUUGUAAGUCAGUGGUGAAAGCCCAUCGCUCAACGGUGGAACGGCCAUUGAUACUGCAGGACUUGAAUUAUUGGGAAGUAACUAGAAUAUGUAGUGUAGCGGUGAAAUGCUUAGAGAUUACAUGGAAUACCAAUUGCGAAGGCAGGUUACUACCAAUUGAUUGACGCUGAUGGACGAAAGCGUGGGUAGCGAACAGGAUUAGAUACCCCAGUAGUCCCUGUCUCUUAUAA
rnacentral:rRNA from 1 species